GGCCCAGUGGUGUAGUGGCAACACAUUGCGUCCCGACUUAAAGAGAAGUGGUUCGAUUCCCUCCUGGCCCA
rfam:Gongylonema pulchrum genome assembly, scaffold: GPTH_scaffold0014274